GGGCUUGUGGUUUAGUGGUAUAAUACUCCCUUAGCAUGUGAUCUUCAAGAUCGCCGGCGACAUGGGAGUGGUCCGGGGUUCGAUUCCCCGCGAGUCCA